rnacentral:rRNA from 1 species
GACGAACGCUGGCGGCGUGCUUAACACAUGCAAGUCGAACGGGGCGAAGUGAUAGCUUGCUAUUAUGGAGCCUAGUGGCAAACGGGUGAGUAACGCGUAGGCAACCUGCCCUUCAGAUGGGGACAACACCUCGAAAGGGGUGCUAAUACCGAAUGACGUUUCCUAGUCGCAUGACCUGGAAACCAAAGGCCGGGCAACCGGUCACUGAAGGAUGGGCCUGCGUCUGAUUAGCUAGUUGGUGAGGUAACGGCCCACCAAGGCGACGAUCAGUAGCCGGCCUGAGAGGGUGAACGGCCACAUUGGGACUGAGACACGGCCCAAACUCCUACGGGAGGCAGCAGUGGGGAAUAUUGCACAAUGGGGGAAACCCUGAUGCAGCGACGCCGCGUGAGUGAAGAAGUAUUUCGGUAUGUAAAGCUCUAUCAGCAGGGAAGAAAAUGACGGUACCUGACUAAGAAGCCCCGGCUAACUACGUG